AAAUUCUGGAAGUAGUCUUUCCUUUUUGGUAAACUACACUUUCCCUCUUCAAAAGUUCUUAUGGAAAAGACACAUAAAGAUGUCUGUUUGCAUACAAGCCAUAAGCUCUUUUGAGAGCUUCUCUAGAGUAU
rnacentral:pre_miRNA from 1 species